CUACGGGACGCUGCAGUGGGGAAUAUUGGACAAUGGGGGAAACCCUGAUCCAGCAAUGCCGCGUGUGUGCAGAAGGCCUGCGGGUUGUAAAGCACUUUCGGUUGGGAGGACUGCUUCUAGCACUAAUAUUGUUGGAAGUUGACGUUACCUUCAGAAGAAGCACCGGCUAACUCCGUGCCAGCAGCCGCGGUAAUACGGAGGGUGCGAGCGUUGAUCGGAAUUACUGGGCGUAAAGCGCGCGUAGGCGGCUAGAUCAGUCGGGUGUGAAAGCCCCGGGCUUAACCUGGGAACUGCAUCCGAUACUGUCUAGCUUGAGUACAGGAGAGGAGAGUGGAAUUCCACAUGUAGCGGUGAAAUGCGUAGAUAUGUGGAGGAACACCAAUGGCGAAGGCAGCUCUCUGGCCUGAUACUGACGCUGAGGUGCGAAAGCGUGGGGAGCAAACAGGAUUAGAUACCCUCGUAGUC
rnacentral:rRNA from 1 species